CCUACGGGUGGCAGCAGUGAGGAAUAUUGGUCAAUGGACGCGAGCCUGAACCAGCCAAGUAGCGUGAAGGAUGACUGCCCUAGGGGUUGUAAACUUCUUUUAUAAAGGAAUAAAGCGAGCCACGUGUGCCUUUUUGCAUGUACUUUAUGAAUAAGGAUCGGCUAACUCCGUGCCAGCAGCCGCGGUAAUACGGAGGAUCCGUGCGUUAUCCGGAUUUAUUGGGUUUAAAGGGAGCGUAGAUGGGUUGUUAAGUCAGUUGUGAAAGUUUGCGGCUCAACCGUAAAAUUGCAAUUGAUACUGGCAGUCUUGAGUACAGGUGAGGUAGGCGGAAUUCGUGGUGUAGCGGUGAAAUGCGUAGAUAUCACGAAGAACCCCGAUUGCGAAGGCAGCCUGCUGGACUGUAACUGACGGUGAGGCUCGAAAGCGUGGGUAUCGAACAGGAUUAGAUACCCGGGUAGUC
rnacentral:rRNA from 1 species